UCAUUUCAGGCUUCUUUAACCUGAAACCAAUUAUCUUUAACAUAUAUUGAAAAGUUUUUUUUGUUUUAAUUUUAAAGACAAUUUUCCUCUUCACAAUUCGUUCAUUUAAAAAAAAACAGAAUGACAAAACUAAUAUAAUAAUUUAAAAAAUAUAUAAUUUUGUUAAUAUUUUUAAAAACUCAUUAAAAAUGAAUAGAAAUUUUAAAGAUAAAGCAAUGAUACUAGUCUAAAAAACCCAAAAAUAAUUUCAAAUAUUCAUUAUCUUAAGACUAGUAAGUAAUAAACGGUUUUAUCGAAAUUUUAAAGAUAAUUAUUUAAUUUUUUAGGCUACUUUAAACAACCUAAUCUUUAUUCCUUUAUUGCCAUAUACGGACCAUAGAACAGCUCAAUAAUACUGAGCAAUAAGAUCUGAACUCAAGUUAUAUUAAUUCAAAUAUCAAAAAAAACUAAAUAAAAUGGCCAUAGAUACUUAAAAUACGUAUUUUUAGCGGAUCCUAAUAGCCCGGAUUGUUCGGUUAAGUGUACUCCUCUCAUAUUGAGAAUCUGCUAUACAUACACUAUAAGCAGAUUGAAUCAAGAAAAUUUGCUCAAAAAAAAAAUUUUAGUAUUUUACCUCUAAAAAGUAUUAACAAUGAACUUAGUGUAUUUAUUAUUAAAGAUAUUAUAUUUUAGUGAAGAACGGUACUAAGGACAUAACCUAUCAGAUAUUCCUAUAUAGCAAUUUGUAAAUAAUUUUAAAGAUAAUCUCUUUAAAACCCGAUCCGGGCUCUUAGAAGUGAAGAAGAAUUUUUUACUCAAGAAAGGUGCCACCCCCCUCCAAAGGCUUGGUACCACUUUACUCUGUGUUGUGAUCUUUUUAAAGUCUAUUACUAUGAAUCUAUAUCUAUAUUAAUACUUACAAGAUAUUUGUAUAUGUUAUUAUUAUUAUUAUUAUAUUAUUAUUAAUUGUACGUAUGAUAUUAGAGUAUUUUAUAUUAUAGAGGCCUACGUUAUCGACCACGAGUAAAUGGGCUCAUCGACCUUUGACAAUCUGUGUGUGUGUUUUCUUAUAAUAUAAAGGUGACCAUCCUUUUUGUUUGUAGUUAAAUGUAUAGCGGCUAAAUGUGUGAGAAAACCCCGCAGUACCACCCUCCUACGUGUACCUUUCGCAGUACUGCAAAUACCAAAAUAUUACAGGAUAAUUAUUAUUAAUUUUAAAAAAAUAAUUAAACGCAAUAAACUAGAAAACAAUCAGAGAGACUGUACUGAAAACGUGUGCCAAACAAAUUGAGUAUUUGCAGGACUUGGAUCUUUCAGCAGUGUUUUGUGAGAUAACUAAUGGGUUGUACUAUAUGUCUCUAGGUUUUAAUGGUCGAACCUCCUGAGGUUCUUGAUUGCGUUUAUGUCACUUGAACUGUCAACUGUCAGACAAAUGAGACUCCUGUUGUUAACCUUCUUGCUUGAACUGUCAGUUGUCAUUUAUUUGAAUUGUUAAAGUCAUUCUGAUGUGACGUAAAAUACGUCAUACGUCAAUGACGUGUGCCAUGGGAAACCCUGGUUUAACGUCAAAAAUGACAAAAUUUCUCAAACUCUUCAUUUAAUUAAAAUUUGUUAAAAAUUGAGGCAAAUCUGGGGAAUUUUCAACGAUCAACUUGGUAACCUUGGACCUGCUUAUAUUGGCGAACUGUCAAAUGUCAAUUCGCAUCCUGAAUACAUUACCUCUAUACAAUUUUAUACUUCAUGGUAUUAAUAAGGUAGCCAAUGUCCUUUGAUCUGUUUGAAAGUUGUGUGCAGUGACAUUUUGCCCAUAGUAGGCAAUUGACCCUCCUGUAAUUCACCUUCUUGCUUGAGGUGUCAGUUGUCAUUUGAAUCGUAAAGGUCAUUCCGAUAUGACGUAAUAUAGGAUGACGUUAGUGUCAUAAAAAACCCUGGUUUAAUGUCAAAAAUGACAACAUUUCUUUAAGGAAAAAAAUCCUGAUUGUAGUGGCGAACUGUCAAAUGUCAAUUCGCAUCCUGAAUACAUUACUCUAUACAAUUUUAUACUUCAUGGUAUUAUUAAGUUAGCCAAUGUCCUUUGAUCUGUUCGAAAGUUGUGUGCAGUGACAUUUUGCCCAUAGUAGGCAGUUGACCCUCCUGUAAUUCACCUUCUUGCUUGAGGUGUCAGUUGUCAUUAGAAUCCUAAAUGUCAUUUCACUUUAACAUAUCAUCAGAUGACGCUUGUGUCGUAGAAAAUCCUUGUUCUCUGUCAAGAUUGUCAAAAUCUGUUGUUUUAAUAUUUUCCCUAAAUUUUGUGCAGUGACUUACAGGUUCUAUUGAUCAGGUUUAACGUAAAAAUACGAAAAUCUCUCUGCAUUUACUUAUUAAAUUUGUUGAAAAUUGCGAGAAAUCUGGGAAAUUUUGCUACGAUUAAUCUGGCAACCUUGGAUCAGUAUACCUUGAAGAACUGUCAAAUGUCACUUGAAUAAGUUAUGUGCAGUGACAUUUUGCCUAUAGGCAGUUGACCUUCCUGUGAUUGGCCUUCUUGCUUACGUCAUUGCACUUGAAUUGUCAUUUAAAUCUUAAAUGUCAUUUUAAUUUUGCUUGUGUUAUAGCUUCCCUGUCAAGUUUAACGUCAAGAUUGUCAAAAUUUCUGGUUUUAAUAUUUCCCCUGAGUUUUGUGCAGUGACUUACAAGUUCUAUCUAUUAGAUUUAACGUAAAAAUGCCAAAAUCUCUCUGCAUUUACUUAUAAAAAAAUUAAAUUUCUUGAUAAUUGCGACAAAUCUGGGAAAUUUUGUUACGAUCAAUCUGGCAACACUGGGUCAGUAUACCUUGAAGAACUGUCAAAUGUCACUUGAAUCAGUUAUGCGCAGUGACAUUUUGCCCAUAGACAUUCGACCUUCCUGUGAUUUACCUUCUUGCUUGCGUCAUUGCACUUGAGUUGUCAUUUGAAUCCUAAAUGUCAUUUUAAGUUGACGUAUGAAGAUAAUAUUUGUGUCAUGCAAAAAGACUGGAUAGAAGGAGACUGAUCUCCGUGGUUCGCAACGUAGCCACCUCGGCGCUGUUGAUUUUAUCCUUAUAAUUAAUUUUACUGUUUCGCAAAGAAUAAUACAAUCGUUAUUUAACUAGUUAUCGUUACUCUAUACAAUUUUAUACUCCAUAGUACUAUUAACUUAGUCAAUGUCAUUUCAUUUGUUCGAAAAGUUGUGUACAGUGAUAUUAUGUUUAUAGACAGCAGAGCCUCCUGUGAUUCACCUUCUUGCUUAUGUCACUGUCAGUUAUCAAUUGAGUGUUAACUGUCAUUAAUUUUUUGGCCUACGUAACGUCAAAAAUGGCAAAUUUCUUGUUUCCAGGGUUUUUCCUAAAUACUUUAGGCAUUUAGCAUUCCCAUCAUUUCAAAUUAACCUAGAAGAUCCUCCUGAGUUUCUUCUUCUUUCUCUUCUUUAGUGUUAGCAACGUCACUUGAACUGUCAGUUGUCAAUUGAGUUUCAAAUGCCAUUCGGUGACGUUUGACAUAUGAAUAACGAAUCAUGUUAGCCUUUGAGUUUAGUUGAGUUUAGUAUAAUUUAACAGUCAGUUCUAGGCACAAUUACAUUUUUAUUCUAAUCAUAUUUUUACCCAAAACGUAAUUUUAUGAAUGAGAACUGUACUGUGGUCCUUCGAGCCGAACUGCAGCUUCAAAGAAAAUUUGCAGAAAAUCCAAUUAAUUCCCUUUAAUUUAAAUUCCGUGUUUAUCUUAUGGAAUUUUGAUCUAAAAUUUAAUUUUAUAAAUAAAAAUUAUACCGUUAUUACAGUUUCACAUCAUGACGCAAUAAUUUGUGUUUCCUCGCAAUUAAUUCUGUUGUUCUCAUCGAAUUUUUACAUAAAAUGAGAAUUUAUGUAUAAGAACUAUACAGUGGUCCUUCGAGCCAGAUUGGCUUCUAAAUUACGUCCUUUACAUUAGUUCAAAUAAGCCAGAUGAAGCCUCCUGAAUUUAUUCUUCUUCCUCUUCUUCGUGCUUGUCAAUGUCACUUGAACUGUCAAUUGUCAAUUGAGUUUCAAGUUGCAUAGUGUUGCCAGUGCGUUUUUUAGGUUAAGUAAUAUAUAAUUUAAUACUUUCCUUACUCUACAAUUCAGGGUUGCCACUUGCGAUUCUAAAUUAUUCUAUAUUAACUUAAAAUAUAUUUUUCGUUCUUUUUUUUUUUAUUCUAUCAAGAUUCUAUCAACUCCCAAUUCUCCAAAAUAAUUAUUGAAAAAAUCCCAGUUGUACCAAUGUUUAAUAAAAAUCCAUGGUAUUACACAGUCAAUGUUACUUGAACUGUCAGUUUUUAACAGUUGACAUUCAAAUGUCUCUCUACCUGUCAGCUGUCAGUUAAGUGUCAACGAUGCGCUGUUGCCACAUCAAACACAUUAGUUAUCUCACUCUAAAUUGGAUGUUGCUUGUCCCUGAUUACUCCGAGAUAACCGUAGGCCGCCCAGACUGAGCCAAACGAUAGUAGUCAUAGGUUAUCAGGUGCUCAGACCUAUCAAUUAAAUAAAAUAAUUAAAAUUAUUGUUGUUAUUCGAUGUACCUCUCAUCAGAACUGACGGUCAUUUUGUUGUUCGUAUUACGUCAUUAUGGUAUUUUUAGAUACUCAUCUAUGCCCCUACGCCCUUUUCUCCCUAGCUGCCAGGAGAAAUAUCGAUACCGGCCCCUUUCGUCCAGUAUCGAUAUUUUUCAUUAAACAAAUGAAAGUAUUUUUCAGAGAUUCAUAUCAAAAGAUUCAUAUACAAUGAAUAAAGUUACUAUGUAAGACACUCGCGUGUUCGUCCAGUUCCGUACAAUGAACAGAAAUUUUAAAAACAAAAAGAAAUUUAAAUGUAUAUAAAAUAAAAUCAUGUAUCGCUUUAUAUACAGUACCUCCUAUAUUAUAUAUUUAUUAUUUAUGUUAUUUAUGGAGUUUUUCAGUUUUUCAUUAUAUAAAAGGUUUCUAAACGGCCUAACGUCUUAUCUAAUCGAAAAAAACGAGUUGUUUAGUAUAAAUGUGAUAACAUUAUAGUGUAUGAAAUGUCCGUCAGGUUCUUUUUAUUUUAUUUAUUUAUUUCGUUCGGUAUAUUAUGGGUUUUAGUAUGUGACUUGGCACUGUAUAAUUUUUAAAAACGAUAGGUACACCCCUUACUACUAAACUAGGCAACACGUUUAACACGAUUUAGAGGUUAAAAAAUGAAGAGGUAGGCAACCCGUUUUUAGGCAGUACCUGAUCACAUUUAGCAUAAUUUACAGACGACUGGCACUAUACGAUAGUAACUUAAUCAGAAUCGGACCUUCUAGGCAACAUUGUACUUUUUUUAUAUGACAUUUGGCAACGUUUUAUGAAGUUCUUUACAGCUUACGUAAAUGUGGCAACGUUGUAACGGUAACAAACAAAAGUUUCCCAGAGUUCUCCCAAUAAACUCGAGAAAAUUGAUUCAAAGAAUUCUUUGCAGAUGACAUCGCUAUAUUCAUUGGAUUCUCUUCCAAUGAGUGUUCCAGAAUUGUCCCUACAAAUUCAAGGAAAUUUAUUUUACGUUUUCCUGGAAGACCUUGUAAAAAAAAUUAUUUGCAGAUGACAGCACUAUAUUCACACAAUUGUGUCAUACAAUGUUACCAGAUUGAAUUAUUCUUAUUAGACUAGUUAAAUUGGGUAAAAUAUCGACAAUAUCUUAAAAGAAAAUUGAAAUUAAAUAAAUAUGGCAACGUAGUAAAACAAUUGUCAAAAGUCACGGAAUCUCGGUUAUAAUUCGUCAGAAACGGCUAAAUCUAGUCCCCCAUUCCAAUGUUGCCUUUUUCAGCCGAACUCUUGAUAAAUGGCAAUGUCAAAAUGUGUAUAUAAAUUUAACCGAAAAUCGCUUUUCAAUCUUCAUCAUUCGUUGCCUACAGCGUUGCUACAUUGAAAGUUUCUUAUUUUCUCUCAAAUAAAUGCUUAAUUUAAGUUGACUUAUAAGUAAUUAUUAAGUUCCUAAAAGAAAAUACAACUGGCAACAUUGUAUACUAGUUUGAAAACUGAUUAUCUACUGCACUAAAGGCUAAAUUACACACUUAUUCCAAGGUUGCCAGAGUUGAGCAACAAAUCAGUGCGUGCCUAUUAUUCUAUAGUGCUAAUGGUCUGUAAAGUAUGUGGUACUAUUACAUAAGAAACAUAAUUCUUACAGGAAAUUCAAGGCGUUAAUGAGUAGUGAAAUCUAGUCGAAACUCAAAAAGUUGACUUUUUACGAAUUUUUAGGCUUUUUACGUUAAAACAUUUCUUUAUCAUUUAGAGCAAGUGGCAACCAUGUAUAACAAAUUUCAAAAGCCUGUAAUCAGCAUCUAAAUUAAUAACAAACCGUACUUAUUGUUUUUAAACCUGUGGUUCCUUUUAAUGAUUCUCUACUGGCAACAUUGGACUAGGUAUGAAGCUUAGCCGCUAAUGACGUUAUAGUAGUGAGGGAUAAACCUAUCGAUAGGUAAGAACUAAUGUGCCAACCGGCAACAGCGCGGUGUCACGUGACAUACGUUACUUAGUAAAUUCGUUGCUUUGUAUAUUUGUAAAUAGGCUAAUAUUAAAUGUUCUUGUUAAACGUUUAGUGAAAUCAUCAUAUUUGACGAAAAAAAGGGAAAAGAGAGUUCAUUGUUUUCAGCUUUUUUUUCUUACGUUGUUGCCAUACCGCUGCCAAAUCUGAAAACUUGCUAAAAAAAAAAAGGGAACGGUGGUGAAGAGAAUUGAUGAAAAACGCGUGAUUCGAAAGUAAGGAACGAUACGAAUAUUGAAGCCGAUUAUUUUUCGCAUAACAAUGAACAAAUUAUAAUUUAUCAAGAUGCCUAAAACGUUAAGACCGUUACCCACCUGUACCUGAACGUUUAAAAAACCAUUUUUGUUUUCUGUCUUUUGUUUUUUUUUUAAUUAAGGUUAGGUAAUCUAAUUUCGUUAAAGUCUAUUUUCCUCGAGUGACGAGAUGAAACUGUUAUUUAGUAAAAUAGGAGAUAUCGUGGUUUUAUCUAGGAAACACUAUUCGUGGAAUAAAUGUCUCAAUAAUAAGGAAAUGUGCUCAUUUUAUAUCAAACAAAAAAAAAGUAAUAUUAUGAUACUUAAUCUUUCAAAUAAAUGUCAAUAUAUUAAAUAUGUGAACGUAGCUCAACUUUCCUGUUUCGUUAUCGUGUUUCUUUUGUUGUUUUUUUUUUUAUAAUAAAAUUCUCACGUACUUUAGGCUAUUGAAUAUGUCACAAAAAUGGCGACAAAUGUUCAAUAGAAGUGAGGUUAUGGUCGAUCCAGUUUUUUCAUUUUCACGCGAAAACUAUGCACUUUUUGUAGAUAUUGAGAUUUCCUUUUGAAAACUACCUUUAGAGUUACAAAAAGUUAAUUUUUUAUUAAAUUAUUAUUAAGGCCAUAGGUCAAAUUUUAUUUUAAAAAUAUCCUUUUAUUCCUUUCGUGGACUUAACCUCAAAAACGCAGUAAGUACAUACUCAAUAGCCUACUUGUACGACUAAUAAAAAGACAUGUUAAGCUAUUAUGUGUGUUCAAUUUCCGAAAAUUAAAUAUUGCAUUUACAAUGAACAGAACUUGCAUUUCUAUAUUGGUGGAGCCUCUAAAUUAAAAAUUCAUUAUAAAUGCAAUAAAAUGUUAAUUACUCCUUAGACUCGUUGUUUUUAACUUAUUAUAUAUAUAUAGUGGUUGUUUUCGAUUUCUGUUAAAUAGGUAAUUAUAUUUUCGUUGACCUGCUCA
rnacentral:lncRNA from 1 species